GACGAACGCUGGCGGCGUGCCUAAUACAUGCAAGUUGAGCGCUGAAGGUUGGUACUUGUACCGACUGGAUGAGCAGCGAACGGGUGAGUAACGCGUGGGGAAUCUGCCUUUGAGCGGGGACAACAUUUGGAAACGAAUGCUAAUACCGCAUAAAAACUUUAAACACAAGUUUUAAGUUUGAAAGAUGCAAUUGCAUCACUCAAAGAUGAUCCCGCGUUGUAUUAGCUAGUUGGUGAGGUAAAGGCUCACCAAGGCGAUGAUACAUAGCCGACCUGAGAGGGUGAUCGGCCUCAUUGGGACUGAGACACGGCCCAAACUCCUACGGGAGGCAGCAGUAGGGAAUCUUCGGCAAUGGACGAAAGUCUGACCGAGCAACGCCGCGUGAGUGAAGAAGGGUUUCGGAUCGUAAAACUCUGUUGGUAGAGAAGAACGUUGGUGAGAGUGGAAAGCUCAUCAAGUGACGGUAACUACACAGAAAGGGACGGCUAACUACGUG
rnacentral:rRNA from 1 species